UACGUAGGUGGCAAGCGUUGUCCGGAUUUACUGGGCGUAAAGAGCGCGCAGGCGGUCGAUCAAGUCGCGUGUGAAAGCCCCCGGCUCAACUGGGGAGGGUCACGCGAUACUGAUCGACUCGAAGGCAGGAGAGGGUAGUGGAAUUCCCGGUGUAGUGGUGAAAUGCGCAGAUAUCAGGGAGAACACCCGUGGCGAAGGCGGCUCUCUGGGACGGUACUGACGGCUGAGACGCGAAAGCGUGGGGAGCGAACAGG
rnacentral:rRNA from 1 species